UGGACGUUACUCGCAGAAUAAGCACCUGGCUAACUCUGUGCCAGCAGCCGCGGUAAUACAGAGGGUGCAAGCGUUAAUCGGAUUUACUGGGCGUAAAGCGCGCGUAGGUGGCCAAUUAAGUCAGAAUGUGAAAUCCCCGAGCUUAACUAGGGAAUUGCAUUCGAUACUGGUUGGCUAGAGUAUGGGAGAGGAUGGUAGAAUNCCAGGUGUAGCGGUGAAAUGCGUAGAGAUCUGGAGGAAUACCGAUGGCGAAGGCAGCCAUCUGGCCUAAUACUGACACUGAGGUGCGAAAGCAUGGGGAGCAAACAGGAUUAGAUACCCUGGUAGUCCAUGCCGUAAACGAUGUCUACUAGCCGUUGGGGCCUUUGAGGCUUUAGUGGCGCAGCUAACGCGAUAAGUAGACCGCCUGGGGAGUACGGUCGCAAGACUANNACUCAAAUGAAUUGACGGGGGCCCGCACAAGCGGUGGAGCAUGU
rnacentral:rRNA from 1 species